rnacentral:rRNA from 1 species
GAUGAACGCUGGCGGCGUGCCUAAUACAUGCAAGUCGAGCGAACAGACGAGGAGCUUGCUCCUCUGACGUUAGCGGCGGACGGGUGAGUAACACGUGGAUAACCUACCUAUAAGACUGGGAUAACUUCGGGAAACCGGAGCUAAUACCGGAUAAUAUAUUGAACCGCAUGGUUCAAUAGUGAAAGACGGUUUUGCUGUCACUUAUAAAUGGAUCCGCGCCGCAUUAGCUAGUUGGUAAGGUAACGGCUUACCAAGGCAACGAUGCGUAGCCGACCUGAGAGGGUGAUCGGCCACACUGGAACUGAGACACGGUCCAGACUCCUACGGGAGGCAGCAGUAGGGAAUCUUCCGCAAAGGGCGAAAGCCUGACGGAGCAACGCCGCGUGAGUGAUGAAGGUCUUCGGAUCGUAAAACUCUGUUAUUAGGGAAGAACAAAUGUGUAAGUAACUAUGCACGUCUUGACGGUACCUAAUCAGAAAGCCACGGCUAACUACGUG